rnacentral:rRNA from 1 species
GACGAACGCUGGCGGCGUGCUUAACACAUGCAAGUCGAACGAAGAGCGAUGGAAGCUUGCUUCUAUCAAUCUUAGUGGCGAACGGGUGAGUAACGCGUAAUCAACCUGCCCUUCAGAGGGGGACAACAGUUGGAAACGACUGCUAAUACCGCAUACGAUCUAAACUCGGCAUCGAGGAUAGAUGAAAGGUGGCCUCUACAUGUAAGCUAUCACUGAAGGAGGGGAUUGCGUCUGAUUAGCUAGUUGGAGGGGUAACGGCCCACCAAGGCGAUGAUCAGUAGCCGGUCUGAGAGGAUGGACGGCCACAUUGGGACUGGGACACGGCCCAGACUCCUACGGGAGGCAGCAGUGGGGAAUCUUCCGCAAUGGACGAAAGUCUGACGGAGCAACGCCGCGUGAGUGAUGACGGCCUUCGGGUUGUAAAGCUCUGUUAAUCGGGACGAAAGGCCUUCUUGCGAAUAGUGAGAAGGAUUGACGGUACCGGAAUAGAAAGCCACGGCUAACUACGUG